CAGAGGUUAGCAGUGCCACUCGUUCAUCAGCUACAAUUCACAGAGAACAGAGGUUAGCAGUGCCACUCGUUCAUCAGCUACAAUUCACAGAGAGCAGAGGUUAGCAGUGUCACUCGUUCAUCAGCUACAAUUCACAGAGAGCAGAGGUUAGCAGUGUCACUCGUUCAUCAGCUACAAUUCACAGAGAACAGAGGUUAGCAGUGCCACUCGUUCAUCAGCUACAAUUCACAGAGAGCAGAGGUUAGCAGUGUCACUCGUUCAUCAGCUACAAUUCAC